rnacentral:rRNA from 1 species
UACGUAGGGGGCAAGCGUUGUUCGGAAUUACUGGGCGUAAAGGGAGCGUAGGCGGAUUGGCAAGUUAGGAGUGAAAUCCACAGGCUUAACCUGUGGGUUGCUUUUAAAACUGCUUUUCUUGAGUAUUGGAGAGGAUGAUGGAAUUCCAGGUGUAGCGGUGGAAUGCGUAGAUAUCUGGAAGAACACCAGUUGCGUAGGCGGUCAUCUGGCCAAAUACUGACGCUGAGGCUCGAAAGCUAGGGGAGCAAACAGG